CCAAGAGUAGGACUAGGAGUAGAGCCAGAGAGUAGAACUAAGAGUAGGGCCAAGAGGUAGAACUAAGAGUAGGGCCAGGAGUAGAACUAAGAGUAGAGCCAAGAGCAGGGCCAGGAGUAGAGCCAAGAGUAGAACUAAGAGCAAGACCAGAAGUGGGGGCCAGGACUAUGUAGAGCCAGGAGUAGAAAUAAGAGUAGAACCAAGAGUAGAACUAAGAGCCAAGAGUAGGGCCGGUAGUAGAACUAAGAGUAGGGCCAGGAGUAGAACUAAGAGCCAAGAGUAGGACUAAGAGUAGAGUCAGGAGUAGAACUAAGAGCCAAGAGUAGAACUAGGAGUAGAGUCAGGAGUAGAACUAGGAGUAGGGCCAGGAGUAGAACUAAGAGUAGGGCCGCAAGGGAGUAAGAACUAAGAGUAGAGCCGGAGUAGAACUAAGAGUAGAGCCAAGAGCAGGGCCAGGAGUAAGAGCGCAAGCAAGUAGAACUAAAGAGGCAGGACCAGGAGUGGGGGGCCAG
rnacentral:lncRNA from 1 species